rnacentral:rRNA from 1 species
GACGAACGCUGGCGGCGUGCCUAAUACAUGCAAGUCGAGCGGAUGGAUGGGAGCUUGCUCCCAGAAGUCAGCGGCGGACGGGUGAGUAACACGUGGGCAACCUGCCCCUAAGAUCGGGAUAACUUCGGGAAACCGGAGCUAAUACCGGAUAUGAUUAUGUCUCACAUGAGACAUAAUGGAAAGACGGUUUCGGCUGUCACUUAGGGAUGGGCCCGCGGCGCAUUAGCUAGUUGGUGAGGUAACGGCUCACCAAGGCGACGAUGCGUAGCCGACCUGAGAGGGUGAUCGGCCACACUGGGACUGAGACACGGCCCAGACUCCUACGGGAGGCAGCAGUAGGGAAUCUUCCGCCAUGGACGAAAGUCUGACGGAGCAACGCCGCGUGAGUGAAGAAGGUUUUCGGAUCGUAAAACUCUGUUGUUAGGGAAGAACAAGUACCAUAGUAACUGAUGGUACCUUGACGGUACCUAACCAGAAAGCCACGGCUAACUACGUGCCAGCCGCCGCAGUAAUAC